GAUGAACGCUAGCGGCAGGCUUAACACAUGCAAGUCGAGGGGCAGCACGGGUAGCAAUACCUGGUGGCGACCGGCGCAAGGGUGCGUAACGCGUGAGCAACAUGCCCUAUACAGGGGGAUAAUCCAGGGAAACUUGGUCUAAUAUCCCAUAGUAUUUAGAGGAGGCAUCUUCUAUAAAUUAAAGCUUCGGUGGUAUAGGAUUGGCUCGCGUGACAUUAGCUAGAUGGUGAGGUAACGGCUCACCAUGGCAAUGAUGUCUAGGGGUUCUGAGAGGAAGGCCCCCCACACUGGGACUGAGACACGGCCCAGACUCCUACGGGAGGCAGCAGUGAGGAAUAUUGGACAAUGGAUGGAAAGUACUGAUCCAGCCAUGCCGCGUGCAGGAAGACAGCCCUAUGGGUUGUAAACUAGCUUUUAUAUGGGAGCAAUAAGGUCUACGUGUAGACUGAUGAGAGUACCAUAUGAAUAAGCAUC
rnacentral:rRNA from 1 species